rnacentral:piRNA from 1 species
UNUCAUUGCUUAAGAUGUUCUUCAAAAGGU